rnacentral:rRNA from 1 species
AUGAAUGUCACACAUAUGUUGAGAUGGGUGUGGCAGAUCUUACGCGGCGAGGGAGGGUUAUGGUUAUAGCUCAUUCAGGAAAAAUACCUUAGGGGUGAGCCUCUCCUGCCAUGCGCCCGACCGGGAGGCUCGCAAUUUUGGCUGUCCAUCCAAAGGAUCAAGGAGGGCAUCCGCUUAGGGAUUUCCUUCUCCUUAGGGAAUGGGGAUGGCAUCCAAUUUUGGAUGGAUCCCUGGUUGGUUACCAAGCCACCGCGUGUUUGCUUUCCUGGUUUGUUCUCGAUUUGUGUGGACCCAUUUGUGCUAGUUUCCACGGCCUUCCAAGCUGGAAAGUGGAAUAUCCGAUUCCGUCGUACCUUUGGGCAAGAAGAGAGUGACGACUGGACUAGAUUAAGGGUCGCCUUACCACUUGUGCUACCGGACUAUCCAAACACGGUGUCCUGGCGGCUCGUGCUGACGGUGGAGUAUUCGAUGAGUAUGGCUUACCAUGCCUGUGCCCGCCAUAUACCAUCCUCGGCUGUCUCCAUUGUGGAAAGCCCCUGUACCCUUAAAGAUUAA